ACCUGGCUAGUGACCAGCAUCACCCAGGCGUUUUCUUGGCAGGAAGCCUGAACUGAGAAUGCCUUUGCUGUGACUGAACUUGGGGUGUUCUGUUCGUUUCAGUCCUUUCACUGUACAGUUCCCUGUCUCUAGUUCAAAAGAAAAUUAAUUGGUCAGCAGAGGGUUUCAGAAAUCAUUAAUACCUCCUUUUGCGUCAUCUCAGAACAUGUUUUUUGAUCUCCAAGGAUAACGCUCAGCACAAUUUAUUGCCCAAAUAAGUAUUUUUUUAAACAUUUCUGGGUAAUGAUGAUGAGGUACUUAAACAGCAAAAAAAAAUAGAUACAGAAUUUGUCACACUGGGGAUGCAAACAAGCCUACCUUGAAGGAACUUUCAAGUCUUGUUAACUAAAAUAGCUUAGGUACCUUGGACUUGGGUGCCCCUUCACGUAAAAACCAUCUUCCAGAGUGUGUCAAGCACUUUGGUCUAAGUUAAAAUCUGGGCUUUGGAAUAGAUCUGGAUUUUUAUUCACCAUUUACUAGCUGAGUAAAAUUACCCUCAAUUACCUUUGAGCCUGACUCUUCACAAGACAACAAUAGCUGGAACUUCAAAAAGGCAGUGAAGACUAAAUGAAAUAAUCAACACAUCAUUCAGGACAAUGCCUGGCACAUGGUAAGCACACAGUGAACAGUAGACGUUAUUUACUGAUAUUAUAUGUUAAGCGUCCAGCUUUGUUAGUUUCACCUUCCAAGAGGAAGUUUAUCAUCUCUGCAUUUGGUGCAUGUGCUGACUCUAAUACUUCAGUAUUAGAGUCGCAGAGUACUGAGAGGCUGAGAGAGGCUAAGAAAGGCAGUUUAUCUUACAGAGCGCCAUCACCAGUAGAAAAGCUUAGGAUGUAUUAAAAGAAUGUGAUCAGAUUAUAGACUAUAUAUAGAUUAGUUUAUAAAGAGUAAGGGCCUUGUUGCUCCCCCCAUUCUGCUCUCCAAGCUCAGCACUGUGCCUGUGGGAUGCACAAUCAAUAUGAGAAGCAUGAGAAUGACAGAGGAGUUUCCCCUCGUGAGGUAAACGGGAAGAGAGUAUUCACAUAAAUAGAAUGGCAUUUUAAAAAGCCUCUGGAGUGAGGCAAAAAUAAUUUAGACUUUGUCCCAUAGCAAGUUAAAAGCUGGGAUGCCUGGGUGGCUCAGUUGGUUAAGCAGUUGCCUUCGGCUCAGGUCAUGAUCCCAGUGUCUUGGGAUCGAGUCCCACAUCGGGCUCCUUGCUCCGCAGGGAGCCUGCUUCUCCUUCUGACUCUGCCUUCCACUCUGUCUGCCUGUGCUCUCUCUCGCUUGCUCUCUCUCUGACAAAUAAAUAAAUAAAAUCUUAAAAAAAAAAAAAAAAGAAAAGAAAGUUAAAAGCCAUUAAAACUGGUGGUGUGGCAUGUACAAAUUAGCAUUUUAGAGAGGUUAGCAUUUUAGAGAGGCUGUUUGGUUUGGAGGCAGAGAUAUUAUUUAGAGCUGAUGGGAUCAUUUAUUAGGUAAUAGCUUAGUGCCAGGCCCUGGGGUAGGUGUGGGAGGAGAUACAAGGUUGAGUAAGACAUGGUCAGAUCCCAAGGAGCUUGUCAGACUAUUGGGAUUUUUUUUUUAAGAUUUUAUUUAUUUAUUUGACAGAGAUCACAAGUAGGCAGAGAGGCAGGCAGGCAGAGAGAGAGAGAGAUGAAGGGAAGCAGGCUCCCUGCUAAGCAGAGAGCCUGAUGCAGGGCUCAAUUCCAGGACCCUGGGAUCAUGGCCUGAUGAUCAUGACCUGGGAUCAUGACCUUAAAGCCAAAGGCAGAGGCUUUAACCCACUGAGCCACCCAGGUGCCCCAACUGUUGGAAUAUUUUAAGUGUGAGACAGACAAUGAAGACUUGGAGAGCCCCUUUGGAAAGAAAGGAAUAAAACUGGGGAAGAACUAGUUGUACUUAGUAACCGACUGUAUGGAGAAGAGGAAAAAAAGGCACCAAGAUUUUGACCAUAAAUCAUGGGCAGAACUAGGGUCUCAGGAUAGGUUUGAGUCUGAGGAGAUGGCAGAGCAGUUAGAAGCUAGGAAUCCAGUUGUCAGUGAAAAUGUUAAAUUGAAACUUAGGAAAAUAUUAGAGCUGGAAGAGUUGAUUUGUGGAUCAUUUUGCAAGAAGGGGCAGCUUAAAGUCAUGAGGGUGAAUGAGAACUUGGGAGAAGCAGUAGGGGAAAGAUCAGAGAGAUGAGGAAUGAGACUUGGCGAAUGAAUUCUCAUGUUUGAGAGGUGGGAGGGGGAAAUGGAGGCAGAGAAGGAGCAAAAGAACCCCCAGAAAGGCGGGAAAACCAGGGAAGUAGAGUCGUAGAAGCCAAUAGGGAUGGGCGUUUGUUAAGGGAGAGAAUGUGUAGUGCUGGACGCUGUAGUGAGGUCAGAGUGGAAGACACCAGGAAGAGACAAGAAAAUAUAAAUCAAUUUAGAACAAUGUAGAAAAUGUGAAUUAACUGCUAACCAUAAGAAAUGAUUAAAAUAUUUGUUAAAAGACUCUGGGCUAGGUUUUUAUUUGGGAGGGGGUGUAAUUUUAUUUUUUAUUUGUUUUCUAUUAUUUAUUUAUUUAUUUACUUAUUUAUUUUUUUGACAGACAGAGAUCACAAGCAGGCAGAGAGGCAAGCAGAGAGAGAGAGGAGGAAGCAGGCUCCCCACAGAGCAGAGAGCCCGAUGCGGGGCUCAAUCCCAGGACCCUGGGAUCAUGAUCUGAGCCAAAGGCAGAGGCUUUAAUGCACUGAGCCACCCAGGUGCCCGUUUUCUAUUUUUCUUAAAGUUAAAAUAUAGUAUUUGAAAGUUCAUAAAGAAUAAUAGCAGUGUCCUUUUUUCCUCCUAGGCCUAUUCCCCCGAGACAACCACUGUCCGCUCUGAGAUGUUUCACUGCAUUCCUAAAUAGUAUGCUUAUGUUACCACUUCUUGAAGAUAAAAUUUGGGCAUUAUCUAUAGAUUUUCUGUUAAAGGAUGAGGAUAUGUUUCUCUUAAGCUGCUACCCACUUCCCUUCUCUGCAUCUUUCAUAAAUCAUUAUAUUACACAUUGUAGUUAAAUGAAUUAUGUAAUUUGGAUUCUGUAAAUGUUACAUUAUUACGGAACCAAGUUGUGUGCCGUGAUAGGUUUCCUUUUGUAAAAUUUAGUGUUUUCCCUGGAGAUGAUGAUUACCUUAUUUUUUUUAACCAGGCAGAAUUUUCCAUAUCCAUAUCUUUAAUCCUUUAUCCAAUCUAUCACAGGCCUUCAAAAAGAUGAUCUAUCAAUUCUGUUUUCACCUCCUCAAGAUCUUCCAGAGUCCUCUUUCUUUUUUUCCUUUUGGACUACUUGUUUUGGCCAUUUUUCAUUUUAGAAUUUUCUUAUCUCCUUUCUCCUAUUAGAGUCUUUCCGUUCCUGGAUCCCAUUUUAUCCACUCUACCUGUUCACUUCCUGUUUUUCUGAAGUACACCUCUGGUGGCUUCUUAAGAUCACAUGGGAGGCAAUCUUUUUUUUUUUUUUUUGAGUCAUUGCCUGUCUUUAUUCUUUCCUCACAUUUGACUGGCAAUUUGGUUGGGUAUAGAAUUCCAAAUAGAACAUAAUACUUCGUUUUGAAGGCUUGUUCCUUUGGGAAUAUAGAAACAAGAGUCACUCUCUGCUGGCCGUAUGAUGAAGUCACAUAUAAAGCUGAGUCUAGAGGGGGCCAUGUUUAGGUUUUGUCUAAGUAGUAAUAGAGUAGAGGAAAUAAAGGAAAUAUGCAGAGAUGAGAGACCUUGCUGCCCCAGAGAUUGAGACUGUCACUGUUUAGGUUCUGUUGGCUUUCUGGUUUCUGAUUUCAGAACCCGGAUCUCAUGAGGGCUUUAUUCCUUUAUUCCUGCUUUAUUAUUUGUUCCUUUUAACCCAUGGCAGCUUGAGCAGAUUCUGUUUCUUUACAACUAAACGUUUAUUAAGGCAACCAUCCAUUUUAUCUCAAAUCCAUCUCUGUCACAGCGUGAAGGCUCAGUGUCUGUAUUUAGAACUAGGACCACAUUUCUGAGAGAUCUCUGAAUUAGAAUCAAGAAAGCCUAAAUUUCAGACCUCUAUCUGCUUUACUGGCACUGGUCAGCAAGACAAAUUGAACAAAUUGCUUUACCUCCAUGUAACCCAUAAAAAUGAAAUUAUUUAUCUCAAUAAGAUUUUUAAAAUAAAAGACAGAAUGAGAUCACUUUUGUAUUCAUGCUGUGAGCAUUUGCCACUACAGUGGGACUGUAGGAAAUGACUGAGUGACUGAGUCAUGGGAAGGACUCUGAAGUAACUAUUUCUGUCUCCAGUUGCUGACCCUGCUUAUUAUCUCAUCUGGUGGCAUGUGAGAUGUCAGAACUCACCUGUGACUAAAAUAGAGAAAAAGUGACCCUGGAGGCAGAUGUCUGGCUUCCGGGCUUGUGGCACAACACUGGUAGGACCCACUGUCCGAUGGUGUGAUUUGGUUUAUGGUGAACACCAAAGGAGAUGGUAUUUCACUGACACCAUCUCUCCCGGGAUUCCGUUUAAAUCUCAGUUGCUGCAAGCUGGUCUCGGGGAAGCAGUCAGAAGAUCUGUUCUUGCACAAAAACACCAUAACCCCCUCAGCCUCUUCUUUCUUAUACUGCAAAGUACAGAUCAAGCGUAGUUGUUUUCCUUCCUGGUGAAAUGAGCUUUGGAUCUGCAUGCCCCCUGGAAUGGGAAGGGAGAAGAGUUAGCCAGGGGAAGUUCACUCACAUAGACUAAGUGCACUCACCCAGAAAUGUUGAGGCAGAGGAGGCGGCUGCCCAGCCUACAUUAAAUACCACCUCUUAGAAGAGUAGUUUACGGACUAUACCUGUAUCUGAGGGAGACCUGUAAUCCCAGUUACUUGUUAAUUCAGAAAUGGUUUAGAUUUUAUUUGUACUCCAAAUGGAACUUGUAUAGGACCUUAAUUAAAGUGCAUUUAUAUACAUCUAAUCCUCGGUAUAGCCCUAGAACCACGUACUGAUGUUCUCAUUUUAUAAACUGAGCUACACAGUGGUUUAGUGGGUUGCUAAUGCUGACAUAUAUAUUUCAGAGAGAGGAGAGGCAGAGGGAGAGGAGAGAGAAUCCUAAGCAGGCUCCACGUCCAGCACAGAGCCCAAAGCAGGGCUUGAUCUCAUGACCCUGAGAUCAUGACCUGCCUCGAAUCAAGAGGUGGAUGCUUAACCAACUGAGCCACCCAGGCGCCCUCAAGUUGACACACAUUGUAGUAUCUGGAUCUCAAACCUGGAUUUCAUAAAUUCAGAAUGUAUAAGAUCCUGAAAGUAUCUUAGAUUGAGGGCCAGAUUACCAGGCUCUUGGCAACACAUAGCAGAGGCAGAAUGUCUGAUGGGGAGGGCAAAAGCAUUAGUUUUAACAGAAAAAGAAAAACUAUUAUUUUUCACCCUUCCAUUAGUGUCAAGAGGGAGUGGGUCCUUUUCUUCCCUACAAGAAAAAAAACCUUGGGAUCCAUCCCUCCUCCUGAAUCCAGGAUUUUCCCUGAUGGCUAUCUCUGUUCUGGGGAUCUGAGGAGGGGCUGUCCUCACCACCAAGCUGGGUGUCCACAAUUGCCAGCAGAAUGGCCAGGGCGAAGCAUCCUCUGCCAGAUGCCAUCAGUGUCCUGCACAGUGUCAGCAGCCACAGGAACUUGAAGCGAAUGUUGGCUCCAAAGAUGUCCUUGCCUCACUUUCCUGAAGCACAUGAGGACUCCUCCCAGGGCUCCAAGACCAUCUCCAUGUUCCAGGCCCUAGCUUAAGUUGGCUAGAGUCUGGUGGUAAAAGGCUUUGGCAUGAGAGUCCAGCUGGCUGGGAAGCGAGAAAGUUAAUCAAAUGAGGUUCACUGGAGAGAAGAGAGGAGAAAAGAGGGAAGAGACAGAGACACUAAAGGCUCUAUUUUCAGAAUAUGUUUUUCUAAAUUAAGUUGCAUUACUAGGUCAAAGACUAGGAACACAAUUUUUUUUUCUACUACAUAUUAUCAGAUUGCUUCCCAGAAAUAUGGUUGAGAUUCAGAUAUUCAGCAAGAAUGCGCUUGUUAGGGCGCCUGGGUGGCUCAGUGGGUUAAGCCUCUGCCUUCAGCUCGGGUCGUGGUCUCGGGGUCCUGGGAUCGUCCCGCAUCGGGCUCUCUGCUCAGUGGGGAGCCUGCUUCCCCUCUUCUCUGCCUGCCUCUUUGCCUACUUGUGAUCUCUCUCUCUCUGUCAAAUAUUUUACAUUUUUGCCAAUUUUGAAUGAAAAAUUAGAUUUCACUGUUGAUUUAUUUUGCAUUUCCAUGACUAGUGAGGGUGAGGCUCUCUUCUUACAUUUAUUCGUCAUUAGUAUUUCCUCUUCUAUGAAUUGCCUGUUCAUAUCCUUUGCUUUUUUAUUCCCAAAUCAACUUUUUAAAAAAUCAGCUUUUCUCUAUAUUAGAGAUAUUACCCUGACUUUUUUUUUUAAACAAAUAUUUUCUCCCAAUUCAUUGUCUCUUGAAAAAAUGUUUUUUUCCAUCAGGAAAAUUCACAUUUGCAUGUAGUUAAAUACAGUGCACCUAUCUGUCUUUUCUUUUAAGUGAUCUAUAGUUCUUUGUAUUGUUUAAGAAAGUUUCCCUCAGGGGCGCCUGGGUGGCUCUGUGGGUUAAGCCUCUGCCUUCGCCUCAGGUCAUGAUCCCAAGGUCCUAGAUCAAGCCCCACAUUGGGAGGCAGGGAGCCUGCUUCCCCCUCUCUCUCUGCCUGCCUCUCUGCCUACUUGUGAUCUCUAUCUGUCAAACAAAUAAAUACAAUCUUAAAAAAAAAAAAAAAAAAACUUUCCCUGAGGUUGAAGUUAUACUUUUUCCCAAUAUUUUAUUGUUUUGUCUUUUAUGUUUAUAUGUUCUUUUUUAAUGUUUAUAUCUUCUAAUCCUGGCUAAGAAAAAAUGCUCUCAUCUCAAAAAACCCAAACUGAACCCAAAGCAAAAGCAAGAUAAAACCAGGGUUUUCAUCAGUUGGAAAUCCUUGAAGAAAUUUUGAAUCAUUCAUACAGUAGAAAAUCAUAUAUUAUUAAAAAGAAUGAGUUCUGGGACGCCUGGGUGGCUCAGUUGGUUGGACAACUGCCUUCAGCUCAGGUCAUGAUCCCAGGGUCCAGAGAUCGAGUCCUGCAUCGGGCUCCCAGCUCCAUGGGGAGUCUGCUUCUCUAUCUGACCUUCUCUUCACUCAUGCUCUCUCUCAAAUAAAUAAAUAAAAUCUUAAAAAAAAAAAAGAAUGAGUUCUUUAAAUAUGAGCUUGAGGAGGGAUCAAUAAUCCACCAUUAUAUCAAAAAAGGCAAAUUGAAAAAAAAAAAAAGGCAAAUUGCAGGGCUAUGCAUAUAAAAUAAAUAUUCUUAUUUUAAAAAAUCCCCUCUCUUUAUAUAAGUGUUUUUAAAAUAUAUUCAAACACUUUAAUCAUUUAUAACUUUUUGGAUAGAUAAUUUUAUUCACAGGGUUCAAAGGGGUAGAGCUGUGUAGUUAAAAGUUUCCUUCCUACUCCUACCGCCAGUGAUCUAUUGCCUCUUCCCAGAGUCAACCAAUGCUGCCUUAUUGGGGAUACUUCUAGAGCUAUUCUAUGCAUAUUUAAGAGGUUCCAUUUCUUUCCCUUUGUAAAAAUAAAUAAAUAAAUAAAUAACAAUGAAUGAUA